UUUGCAAGCAACCCUUUAUUUGUGGCAAUAUACUAACCGAGACAGAUAUCCGGUUGUUCGUCACACUCAUAAGAUUUGAUGAGAUGAUCUGUUCAAUUUUUCUGGGAACCAAACAAGGCUACCCCUUUUACCCCAUACUUUUUACUUUAGUUAUGGAUGUAUCAAGCAAAAUGCCAUGCUAAUCCAGACAGGCUGCAAAGAUUGGCUUUCAGAACAGGUUUGUGUUUCUAAAUAAUCCAUGUUACAAUGAUUUUAUCAACUUUUGCUGAUAACAAAAUGAUCCUAUGCAACUGAGACAUCAUCGAUGCGAUGUAUAGAUCAGUUUUUCUUGCUUAGAGGCAUAUUUGGGGCUUAAAGUCAACCUUGCUGAAGAUGAACUUAUCUCUCUGUGGGACCGCAUGGAUGAUCAGAUUCUGUUACAUGAUAAGGAAAUAUUAUAACCACAAAACUCCCUUUGGGUUCACUUUUACGGUAUUUCCAUGAUUUCAUUUGUGGUACUUUCUUGUUGUAUUGCCUAGUUAUGGCAUAUCUCAUAUGAAGAGACUUCCUGAUUGGGAUAGCAGGUUCACCACCCUCAGACCUUUGAUUAAGUGGUUGUACAGAGUAGUUGUGAUUCAAA